UACGUAGGGUGCAAGCGUUGUCCGGAAUUAUUGGGCGUAAAGAGCUCGUAGGCGGUCUGUCGCGUCGGCUGUGAAAACUCGGGGCUCAACCCCGAGCUUGCAGUCGAUACGGGCAGGCUAGAGUUCGGUAGGGGAGACUGGAAUUCCUGGUGUAGCGGUGAAAUGCGCAGAUAUCAGGAGGAACACCGGUGGCGAAGGCGGGUCUCUGGGCCGAUACUGACGCUGAGGAGCGAAAGCGUGGGGAGCGAACAGG
rnacentral:rRNA from 1 species